rnacentral:rRNA from 1 species
UACGUAGGGUCCGAGCGUUGUCCGGAAUUAUUGGGCGUAAAGCGCGUGUAGGCGGCUUUGCAAGUCGGGUGUGAAAGCCCUCAGCUCAACUGAGGAAGUGCGCCCGAAACUGCAGAGCUUGAGUACCGGAGAGGAUGGCGGAAUUCCCCAAGUAGAGGUGAAAUUCGUAGAUAUGGGGAGGAACACCGGUGGCGAAGGCGGUUCUCUGGGCCUUACCUGACGCUGAGGCGCGAAAGCUAGGGGAGCAAACGGG